rnacentral:sRNA from 1 species
AAUCCUCCAUCUGUUGCGGGCAGAUGAAGUGGAUGUGGCUGUCGAUGCCACCGGCGGUCAGGAUCCGGCCCUCGCCCGCGAUGAUCUCGGUUCCCGGCCCGAUGAUGAUGUCCACGCCCGGUUGCGUGUCGGGGUUGCCCGCCUUGCCGAUGGCAUGGAUCAGCCCGUCCUUCAGGGCCACGUCGGCCUUGUAGAUGCCGGAAUGAUCAACGAUCAGCGCAUUGGUGAUGACGGUGUCGACGGCGCCACCGGCGCGCGUGACCUGCGACUGGCCCAUGCCGUCACGGAU